CCUCCCCUUGUCCCCCUUUCUCUGUUGUAGCUGGGUUUCAGCGCCACCUGCUGGAUCUUCUAAUGCGGUUCCACUACACCCUGAGGAACCAACAGCGGCAGGAGUGUUCUCAUGUUCCUCCUCUCCAGGAAACAUUAGGCCACACACACACUCAUUACUAUGCUCUGACUUUGCUUCGUUCUUCCUGCUUUCAAUAUAUUUAAGUACAUCCAAACUAGUGAAGAAAGACAGUGAAAUUAGUUUAAAUUGUAAAGGACUUUCUGAGACAGUAGUAGUUUGCUCCCUAAAUGCUUAUGUGGUUGAAAAUGCUGUGUCCUGAUUGGCAGAUUGUCUGGGUGUGAUCUGUCACAAUGUGAUUGAUUGACUGCAGGAGAAGCUGGCUAUCGUGCUGAAGGUCCACAUCUACUCUAAGAGGCCCACGCCUGAGAAACACCUGCUGUACCCUAACAUUUGGUGUGUCUGACGGAUAUGAGGACUGUGAAUGAGGAGUAUACCAAACAGGUCCUGCAGAUUCUGGACAUCCAGCCAGACAACUCAUUUGACCCAAUCAUCCUGCAGGUGGUCAGCAAGGACCCCUGAGUCAGCCGCACACAGACAGGCAUCAGCAGGGAUGCCUAAAUCACUUUGACAGCUAGCUAAAUGCUCUAUCCUCAGACUGAUAUAGGAUGGAUGCCCAAAUAAAUGUAACAGGGAACAACAGAGACAUCUAACCAAGGAUCCAAAGAUCUGUAAAACUGCCUAUGUGGCAAGAAUUAAGCUUUUAUUUAAUUCAAAUAUAUGACUGUUUGUGAAAAAAAGAGAAAAAAAAAAAAAAGAGCUAUGCGUUUCAUAUUCAUUGUGUGCACGCUUUUAUGUUUUUUCAAUUUUUAUACUAGCCAUAAUUCAAUUACUGGUAUGCAUUUUGCCAAUUCAAAACAAUUGUCAAAGACUCGUUGUUGUUUUUAAAGCACUAAUCCAAAAUCCUUUUAUACAGGAAUGCACAAAGGACAUUGUUCAGUACAUGAUGUGUAUUCAAAGGGAUUUAUCUGUGCCCUGUUCCUACAGAAUUUAAGGAGUGAUUUUGUUUACUGUGUGAAAAACACUAAUUGGCUGCUGUAAUCUCGUUCCUUAAAUCUGGUCAAGUGCCUCCAGAAAGAUGAGAUCCGCGAUAGGCGAAACAUCGCCACUGGCCACCCCAGUGGCACUAGUGUUUUUGCUUUGAAGAAAUGAGCAUCCAGCAUCAUAGUAAAAAAUAUAUAUUACAUGGAAAAAACAUUGUUGUUUGAAGUAACGUAUUUGUUGUUGUAAUAUUGCGAAAUGGACGUGGCAGUUUCACCACUAUGGAUUCCAGCGUUAAAUGUGAGAUAAAAUCAUCAGUCUAGUCCAGGGGUAGGCAACGCUGGUCCCGGAGUGCUGCAUACACUUCAUGUUUUUCAUUUAACCAACGUGGAAGACCAGGUGUGUUGAAUUUAGUCAAUCAUUGAACUGAUCAAUUAGCUCAGUUGGUCUGGUGUGGUACGUAGACAAAGUCCUGCAGUACCUGCGGCAUCCCAGGAACAGGGUUGUCUACCCCUGAUCUAUUCCAUAUCAAUUGACCCUCAUUGCAGAACUGUGUGUGUGAAAAUAACAAUUAGAAUCAAAGUGUGAUAGAAAAUCUUAUGUGAUGAAGAAUGUUACAAAUGUAGGUACAUGUAUUCUGUGAAGGUUGGGUUGUGUUUUCUUGACAAGAACAGUACAGGUACAUGUAUUCUGUGAAGGUUGGGUUGUGUUUUCUUGACAAGAACAGUACAUGGACAUGUGUUUGGCUUUGUGAGUGUUGGGUCAACGUUGUUUUCUGUCAUAAAUGUUUAUCUUUCUGUGUGGUGUAACACUAGCAGACACAGGGCUGCAGUCACACUAAUGGCCAGCACUUGCCAACUUGGACCUCUGCCUUGUGACCAGCACUGCCUACCAAUAACCUCUGGUCUACAGUUCCUCAGGCUGUCCUUCUAUUCGGGUAUAGUAACACAGAUUUUACUCUGUCUGAAAUGUACUGAUUGUGACAAUUUUUCAAUGAAAGUCAUCCGUUAGUAGAUGAUGGACAACCCAGAUGAGUAUCUGUCAAAAAACACACAAGAUGUCUGGAAAACAGUUGAGACGAGUAGAACUUUUGACCGACAAAAAUGCAUUUGCGUUUGAAUGUCUGUGUGGCCUUAGCCUUACGCUCUUUUGUUGGAAAGCUGUUAUAUGUAAAUCAAAUGUGACCAAAAAUGAAUUUUAUAUUUAAAUUGUCAUAUCAACCUGAAAUGCUCUAUUGUAUCUAACCCUCAAAUAAAGAGCAAGUUUGACUAUC